rnacentral:lncRNA from 1 species
GGGAAUUUCAAUGACCAUGAGUAUCCAGUGAAAGCUGUUUACACACAUAUAUAUAGUCAGGCCUAUAUAUAACUAUAUAAAACUUGUCUCUAGUAAUAAUUAUUAAAAUAAAAUAUGCAUGCACUUAAUAACUAUAUAACUCACUCGAAGUUGAAGGGGAAGAGUAUUUUUUGUUUUUCUUUUUGGUUCACAAAGAACCUCAUAAGAUUGGUGCUGACUUCUGUCUCAUGAGCUGCUGUCCACACUACCUGCGGAGCUUUGAAAACAAUAUAAGGGUCAACAAACCCAAUAUUAUUGUCAUUUCUGAUUCUGAGCUCUCAUUUGGUGCCUGCAUAUAUACAUACAAAUCCUAAGUGUGUAAGAUUAUAUACAUGUAAUUAAAGAAGUU